UCCCGCCCAGCCCCCUGAGGCUCCGCCUUCUUCCCCGUCCGGCAGUGGAGGGGGAGGUUACAGAGCCGGGGGAGCGGAGCUCGGAGAUCGCGACCGCACGUGCGGCUCCUGCCGGCCCCGCCUCGGACCCAACCAAGCGUUCCGCGAAGGGGCGCCACGAGGUGGGGUCGGGGGGGAAAAAGCGAAAGAAACCACCCCUCUGGGAUCCUAGGGAGGGAGGCGAGCUGCAGAAAGACGCUGUGUUUGGACCCCUGUGAUCUGGGCCUUUCCUCGCGCGAAGAAGAGAGAGGCGGGAGGGGACCUUGCCGGCGUCUCUCCCUCACGGUCCAGUGGCCCUCUGCGAUUCCCGGCCCCUGUUCCCCGCGAACGCUCCCUUCGGGCUGACUGGGGGUGGUUCUUUGGCCGGAGUACCGUUUUACUAAUUCGGAACGGGGAAGGGGAGGCCACUCUGAGAGAAGGCGUUUCCAGCGGAGGAGGCUUCGUGACUCCUAGCUUCCCGCCUGUCCUCCUGUCCCGCACCCACCUGCCCACCCAUUACUCGGGAUGUCGCGCCCUCGAGAGUUGUAUUCUGGAUGGACGGCGGGGGGGGGGCGCCGAGGAAGCCAAGCCUCCCCCGCUAGCUCUGCCUUUCCAGUUCUUCAGUGUCUCCACAGUCAUCACAUUCCAGUUCCCCAAGGGCUUGAGUACUUGAACACUCCAGACAAAAGGUUUUGACAGGGCUGGGUGGGCCAGGCCUGGCCCUUCACUUGUGAAAAGGAGAGACAAUUCCAAAUGGCCCUCCUGAGGAGUUAGCUGCGCAAGGUGGGAUAAUCCAGCAUGGAGAAGCACACUGAGGUCUCGGGGCUAAAAAGAGUGGUCUCAAAGGUAAGUGCCAGGUUGAGGGAUACUGCUGUUAACUAAAAUGUAGUGAGGAAUUUAGUGUGAAAAUAACUCGGCUGCCUUUUGCAUGAGGCUUCACAUUAUAGGAAAGAAGAUGGAGGACAGGUAGAAGGGUCCUCCUACCAGAAAAUGGCUAGUAAAAGGGACGAGGCAAGUGGUAGAAGGCCGAGAGUAUAAAACUUCAGAACAUUUGCCCUUUGUGUGUUUAUACAGUGGGCCACAAGGUCCCAGAGCAGUUUUUCCAGCUCAGAUUCCUUGCAGAGAUAGACAGGAAAGGAAAGGAAGUAGGAAUCUGGUGAUAAACUGGUUAGUCUGAGUAUGCUUUAGGAACACUCUGAUUGUCUUUAUCUGAUGCUAACGUUCUAGAAGGAGUCACUUCCAAACAAAUGGUAACAUGGAUGUCACUGAAAUUCUCUUCAGUAUUGUAUGACAUCUUAUCCAUCUGUACCUGCGAUAUCCUGAACUAGAACAGGGAAAGAUGUGAAUGUCCAUCCUCUGGAAUACAAGCUCACAGACUGGCAGUUAAUGGCUUUCUUGAGAAUAACAACAAAAGUUUCAUUUAUAAAGAGAGUUUAUGAAAACUGUUCAUUCUGUUUUAAUUUGGUUACCUUGAGUAAAUAGUAAGCAUAACAAACAUGCACUUAAACUUCUUAGUUGCUUAAGAAACAAUGAUGAAUAAAAGUGCAAAUAAGAUGUGCUAGUUCUGGAAUUUCACAGGAAGUUCACAGAAGCUAUAGGACUCUUUUGGUGGGGUCUCAAAGGGACCCUCCACCCCUCUCUGGUGGUUGGGAUUUUAGUUAUAACACCAGGUCCUGUCGUGCUGGAUAUAUUAACUGCUUGGAUAAAGGGAAAAAUAUGAACACCCACAUGAGAUCCCUGCUUUGCUCUCACCUGAUGCUAGGUGAGAUCUACAAAAUCUACAUUUGCUCCUUUUGACUUGAUGUGGCACCAAAUCCCAGAAAAUCUUAAGAAAUUCUUCUACAGGCAAGGCAGUGGUUACAUUUUUCUUUUUCAAGGGUAGCCUAAUGUAUCAUUCAUUAGCCUAAUAUAUUAUUCGAUUAGCCUAAACAGAAUUCUUACCCUCUACUUCUUUGAAGAAAGAACCCUGGUAAGUAGACCAUGGAGCCUGAGUUAGAAACCAAGGGCUGCAGAGAUUGUCGUCAAAGGACCUCAGCCCCAGAUGCUUAGUUUUGACAGGCCUGGAGAAGUGCUGGGUGGGCGCCCUCUACAUCUAGCUUUGAAGAUAUACAGGGGGCUGGUGGGAGCCUUCCCCCUCCUUUAACUACCCACCCUAUAGCCUUUUGAGAUACUAAGAAGAUUGUUAGAGGGAUUUUACUAGAACAAUUAUCAACUAUAGAAUUCCUUGCAACAAAACAUUUUGAUGAAAUACCCUUGGGAACAGAGUGGUUUGAAUUGAUCGAGAGGAAAAUAAGUAGCCGUGCUUCCAUUUGCCCAGGCCCCCAGUCCCCACGUUGAUGACGCUGAGCUGAACCUUUGGUCCUCCGGAGCUGCCCUACCUCAGAACACUUGGACUGGAACUGCUCUGUCUACCCCAUCCAGCCCUUCUCCCUUCCCUCCAGAGCUGCUUUUUGACCUUGAGACUUCCAGUCACCAAACCCCUUCAGUUCUUUCAGUUUAUUAGCUGUUUUCGGCUUCACUUAUUUCCUUUUGCAUUUAAUACCUGGGUUCGCCAUUUUGAAUAUAUUCUUCUAAUAAUUUCUUAACAAUCUCAAAAUUCAGGUCAAAGCAGUGGACAUUUUAUUGCAUUUUGCUUUAAAGUCACUAAUAACGACUAAAGAAAAUCAAAAUAAACCAGUUGAUUAGUCACAUCUCCAAGGCAACAGUUGCAGCAAUGGGAGUACUCACUCACAGUUGCUCCUUCAACCAAGGUUCGUGCCUGGUUGGCUCCCUUUCCCCCUUCACUGCAAAGACUGUUCAGAUUUCUAUGGCACUCUUCAAGACCCUCAUCAGCUCCAGCCCUGCCACUCUGAAACCUAGCUUCUUUCAUGGGUGCUGAUCUAAAGUUUAUCAGUAUUACCCCUUGAAUCCUCACACCAGUGUUUUGAGGGAGGCACUGGCAUUAUUCCUGGUUUACGGAUGCUCAAGAUCUUCAAGAAUGUAAGUGGUGGUGUGUGGAUCAGGAAAUCUGACUUCAGCUUCACACUCUUUCUCCCUACACUGUCUUUCUUCCAGUCUCCUCACUAGGGCUCUAGUCUUCUCCAUCUCUAAACUUCUAUGUAUCUUCCUCUCAGACCAUUCUCUCCUGAUUCUUCUCAGUCACCUUCCUCCUCCCAAAGCUCUAUAUCCCAAGCCUCACUGGCUGUUCCAUUGUUCAUUUAUUCAUUUAGCAAAUGGUUAUUAAGUACCUAUUGUGUCCCAGGUGUUGGGGACACAGAGGUAAACAAGACCUAAUCCCCCAUCCCGGGGCUUAAAUUCUAAUGAGCUAGUUUCCCUCUUAAAUAUCCAAUAUGUAGCAAUCUCCUAGACUCUUCUUUCUAGCUACAGAAUAUUGAAGUCACGGUACAUUUCACACUACCCUCUAGCACCAGCACCGAGAAGGUAUCAGGUACGUGUUUGGCAGACAGAUAAAUAAUUUCAGACAAAGUAAUUAAGGUUUGUAAAUUUGUCCUUAGUUCUCUUUCUGAAAAGUAGCUACUUCAGCUGGGCUUUAGCUCUUACGCGUUUUCAUCUGAGCAGAUCUGGGGUGGUUCUGAAAACCAGCCCUUUGCCAUUAUUGACUGACUAGUUUACUUUAGCUGAAAUGUAUUCCCAGCAAAGUUACCUCAAACUGGUACCUAUACUUAAACCUUGUAAUCUAUGAUUGUAGAAAGAAAGACACACAGCCUUAUUAAAGGAACUUCAGCAUUUUUAAGGGGGAAGAUAUUUGUGAGACAAGGUACUUUUCAAACACAUAUUUUGCUGCUUCUAACCUAGUGGUUCUCAAAGGGAGGUGAUUUUGUCCCCAAAGGAACAUCUGGCCCUGUCUGGAGACAUGCUUGGUUGUCACAACUGGCUGGGGAAGGAGUGGGAGCCGCACAAUGCUACUGAUGUCUAGUGGAUAGAGUCUUGGGAUGCUGCUAAAAAUCCUAGUGUGCGGGGCAUCUCAUAACAAAGAGUUAUUGGCACUAGUUGAGAACCACUGAUCUAAAGGGAGAAAUUGACUGGCACAUUGAGGUGCCCUAUGAGUUGGGCUGAAGGAAGAAUCUCACCUGGGGAUCCUGGCUGAACCUGCUGAAGGUCUGUUGACAGGAGUUGCUGAAGGUGAAGGAUCUAUGGGACCUGUGAAGUGAGGCAACUGGGCUCACUUUCUCCAUCUACUCUUCCCUUAAGUUUAUGUGGGCCUCUUUUUGGCCCCAAGAUGCUUGAUGCACUAUUUAUGUCUUCCUGUAUGGGGGUGGGGGUGGGAAUAAAUAGAAUAGUUCCUUUAUCUGACAAAAGCACUUUUUGCAUUAGUAUAAGUCCUGUCUCUGGCUGUAAAAUUGCUAAUGUGUAGAACACGCCCUCUUUGUCAACAAAGGUAUGGCAACAUUUAUUUCAGUACAAAUUAAAUGAUAGUGAAGUCAAAGAAAAAAGUUAUAAAUGCUAAAGCUUCCCACUAAGUCAGUGAAGAAUCACUUAUCAAACUAAGAUUAGUCUUAAAGAAGAGUUAUGUU